UACGUAGGGGGCAAGCGUUGUCCGGAUUUAUUGGGCGUAAAGGGCGCGUAGGCGGUUUCUUAAGUUUGGAGUGACAGUGGGUGGCUUAACUACCCAAGGCCUUUGAAAACUGGGGAACUUGAGGACCAGAGAGGGACAUAGAAUUCCGGGUGGAGUGGUGAAAUGCGUAGAUAUCCGGAGGAAUACCAAAGGCGAAGGCAGUGUCCUGGAGGGUAACUGACGCUGAGGCGCGAAAAGCUAGGGGAGCGAACAGG
rnacentral:rRNA from 1 species